rnacentral:rRNA from 1 species
AUUGAACGCUGGCGGCAGGCCUAACACAUGCAAGUCGAGCGAGCGGCGGACGGGUGAGUAAUGUAUGGGGACUGCCCGAUAGAGGGGGAUAACUACUGGAAACGGUGGCUAAUACCGCAUACUAUCGGAUAACCCAUAUGGGAUUAGCUAGUAGGUGGGGUAAAGGCUCACCUAGGCGACGAUCCCUAGCUGGUCUGAGAGGAUGAUCAGCCACACUGGAACUGAACCACGGCCCAAAGUCCAACGGAGGCAGCGGUGGGGAAUAUUGCACAAUGGGGACAAGCCUGAUGCAGAAAUGCCGCGUAUAGAAAGAGGGCCUUAGUGUGGUAAAGUACUUUCAGCGGGGAGGCGUUACCCGCAGAAGAAGCACCGGCUAACUCCGUGCCAGCAGCCGCGGUAAUUC